rnacentral:rRNA from 1 species
GAGGACCGAACCGACUAAUGUUGAAAAAUUAGCGGAUGACCUGUGGCUGGGGGUGAAAGGCCAAUCAAACCGGGAGAUAGCUGGUUCUCCCCGAAAGCUAUUUAGGUAGCGCCUCGUGAAUUCAUCUCCGGGGGUAGAGCACUGUUUCGGCUAGGGGGCCAUCCCGGCUUACCAACCCGAUGCAAACUGCGAAUACCGGAGAAUGUUAUCACGGGAGACACACGGCGGGUGCUAACGUCCGUCGUGAAGAGGGAAACAACCCAGACCGCCAGCUAAGGUCCCAAAGUCAUGGUUAAGUGGGAAACGAUGUGGGAAGGCCCAGACAGCCAGGAUGUUGGCUUAGAAGCAGCCAUCAUUUAAAGAAAGCGUAAUAGCUCACUGGUCGAGUCGGCCUGCGCGGAAGAUGUAACGGGGCUAAACCAUGCACCGAAGCUGCGGCAGCGACACUGUGUGUUGUUGGGUAGGGGAGCGUUCUGUAAGCCUGUGAAGGUGUGUCGUGAGGCAUGCUGGAGGUAUCAGAAGUGCGAAUGCUGACAUAAGUAACGAUAAAGCGGGUGAAAAGCCCGCUCGCCGGAAGACCAAGGGUUCCUGUCCAACGUUAAUCGGGGCAGGGUGAGUCGACCCCUAAGGCGAGGCCGAAAGGCGUAGUCGAUGGGAAACGGGUUAAUAUUCCCGUACUUGGUGUUACUGCGAAGGGGGGACGGAGAAGGCUAUGUUGGCCGGGCGACGGUUGUCCCGGUUUAAGCGUGUAGGUGUGUGUUCCAGGUAAAUCCGGUUCACUUUAACACUGAGGCGUGACGACGAGGCACUACGGUGCUGAAGCAACAAAUGCCCUGCUUCCAGGAAAAGCCUCUAAGCAUCAGGUAACAUCAAAUCGUACCCCAAACCGACACAGGUGGUCAGGUAGAGAAUACCAAGGCGCUUGAGAGAACUCGGGUGAAGGAACUAGGCAAAAUGGUGCCGUAACUUCGGGAGAAGGCACGCUGACACGUAGGUGAAGUGAUUUACUCAUGGAGCUGAAGUCAGUCGAAGAUACCAGCUGGCUGCAACUGUUUAUUAAAAACACAGCACUGUGCAAACACGAAAGUGGACGUAUACGGUGUGACGCCUGCCCGGUGCCGGAAGGUUAAUUGAUGGGGUCAGCGCAAGCGAAGCUCCUGAUCGAAGCCCCGGUAAACGGCGGCCGUAACUAUAACGGUCCUAAGGUAGCGAAAUUCCUUGUCGGGUAAGUUCCGACCUGCACGAAUGGCGUAAUGAUGGCCAGGCUGUCUCCACCCGAGACUCAGUGAAAUUGAACUCGCUGUGAAGAUGCAGUGUACCCGCGGCAAGACGGAAAGACCCCGUGAACCUUUACUAUAGCUUGACACUGAACAUUGAGCCUUGAUGUGUAGGAUAGGUGGGAGGCUUUGAAGUGUGGACGCCAGUCUGCAUGGAGCCGACCUUGAAAUACCACCCUUUAAUGUUUGAUGUUCUAACGUGGACCCGUUACCCGGGUUGCGGACAGUGUCUGGUGGGUAGUUUGACUGGGGCGGUCUCCUCCUAAAGAGUAACGGAGGAGCACGAAGGUUGGCUAAUCCUGGUCGGACAUCAGGAGGUUAGUGCAAUGGCAUAAGCCAGCUUGACUGCGAGCGUGACGGCGCGAGCAGGUGCGAAAGCAGGUCAUAGUGAUCCGGUGGUUCUGAAUGGAAGGGCCAUCGCUCAACGGAUAAAAGGUACUCCGGGGAUAACAGGCUGAUACCGCCCAAGAGUUCAUAUCGACGGCGGUGUUUGGCACCUCGAUGUCGGCUCAUCACAUCCUGGGGCUGAAGUAGGUCCCAAGGGUAUGGCUGUUCGCCAUUUAAAGUGGUACGCGAGCUGGGUUUAGAACGUCGUGAGACAGUUCGGUCCCUAUCUGCCGUGGGCGCUGGAGAACUGAGGGGGGCUGCUCCUAGUACGAGAGGACCGGAGUGGACGCAUCACUGGUGUUCGGGUUGUCAUGCCAAUGGCACUGCCCGGUAGCUAAAUGCGGAAGAGAUAAGUGCUGAAAGCAUCUAAGCACGAAACUUGCCCCGAGAUGAGUUCUCCCUGAGACUUAAAGUCUCCUGAAGGAACGU